rnacentral:rRNA from 1 species
UAAUACGUAGGGUGCAGGCGUUAAUCGGAAUUACUGGGCGUAAAGCGUGCGCAGGCGGUUUGUUAAGACAGAUGUGAAAUCCCCGGGCUUAACCUGGGAACUGCGUUUGUAACUGGCAAGCUAGAGUGUGGCAGAGGGGGGUGGAAUUCCAAGUGUAGCAGUGAAAUGCGUAGAUAUUU